rnacentral:rRNA from 1 species
AGAAUCAACGCUGGCGGCGUGCCUAACACAUGCAAGUCGAACGAGAAAGUGGAGCAAUCCAUGAGUAAAGUGGCGACCGGGUGAGUAACACGUGACUAACCUACCUUCGAGUGGGGGAUAACCUCGGGAAACCGAGGCUAAUACCGCAUAACAUCGCAAGAUCAAAGCAGCAAUGCGCUGGAAGAGGGGGUCGCGGCUGAUUAGCUAGUUGGCGGGGUAACGGCCCACCAAGACGAAGAUCGGUA